GCGGAGGAAAAGAAACCAACAGGGAUUGCCCUAGUAACGGCGAGUGAAGCGGCAUCAGCUCAAAUUUGAAAUCUGGCUCUUUCAGAGUCCGAGUUGUAAUUUGCAGAGGGCGCUUUGGUGUCGGCAGCGGUCCAAGUUCCUUGGAACAGGACGUCACAGAGGGUGAGAAUCCCGUACGUGGUCGCUGACCUACACCGUGUAAAGCCCCUUCGACGAGUCGAGUUGUUUGGGAAUGCAGCUCUAAAUGGGAGGUAAAUUUCUUCUAAAGCUAAAUACUGGCCAGAGACCGAUAGCGCACAAGUAGAGUGAUCGAAAGAUGAAAAGCACUUUGGAAAGAGAGUCAAACAGCACGUGAAAUUGUUGAAAGGGAAGCGCUUGCAGCCAGACUUGCUUGUAGUUGCUCAUCCGGGCUUUUGCCCGGUGCACUCUUCUGCGAGCAGGCCAGCAUCAGUUUGGACGGUUGGAUAAAGGCCUCUGUCACGUACCUUCUCUCGGGAAGGCCUUAUAGGGGAGGCGUCAUGCAACCAGUCUGGACUGAGGUCCGCGCAUCUGCUAGGAUGCUGGCGUAAUGGCUGUAAGCGGCCCGUCUUGAAACACGGACCAAGGAGUCUAACAUCUAUGCGAGUGUUUGGGUGUCAAGCCCGAGCGCGUAAUGAAAGUGAACGGAGGUGGGAUCCCGCAAGGGUGCACCAUCGACCGAUCCUGAUGUCUUCGGAUGGAUUUGAGUAAGAGCAUGGCUGUUGGGACCCGAAAGAUGGUGAACUAUGCUUGAAUAGGGUGAAGCCAGAGGAAACUCUGGUGGAGGCUCGCAGCGGUUCUGACGUGCAAAUCGAUCGUCAAAUUUGGGCAUAGGGGCGAAAGACUAAUCGAACUAUCUAGUAGCUGGUCCUGCGAGUU
rnacentral:sRNA from 1 species